rnacentral:misc_RNA from 1 species
GUUGAAUCUACAUUUUUGGCAAUUUAAAAGGGUUUUACCUUAACAGGAUCAUUCUCUCCCAAAUUUCUCUCAAAUUUAGGGUUUAUAAAAGUUUGUCUCUUCUUCUCGGAGAUUUGCUAAUAUUUUCUUGGAAAUACCGUUUCUGCUUUCACAAAGAUUUAGGAAAGAAGGUUUGUUAUUUGGAAUUUUGAAUAUUUGUUGGAAUAUGGCAUUGGGAAAGAGGUGUAAUUCAAUGAAGUCGGGGCGUGUUGGAUUUGAUUGUGAAGAAGGGUUUGGUUUAGGGUUGGUGAAACACACGCGAAGCUUUGGGAGGAAAAGGGUUUUAAUUGAUAACAAUACGGAUUCGAUGGUACUUGAUUCGCCUGUCAAAACUCCAUUGAAAAGGGUUUGCAGUCUAGAGCCUGAGAAAUCUGCGCUCGAAAGCCUGCCUCAGGAUAUUCUGGUUAGUGUUAUGUUAAGUUCUUUAGCUCCAAUAAUUUGUUUGCUGAGUUAGAAUUGAACGGUUAGUGAUUAUUAUUUCUAUUUUUGUUUUCAGAUUAGGAUUCUCUGUGGUGUGGAUCAUGAUGAUUUGAAGCAGCUUUUCCAUGUAUCUAAAGUAAUCAGAGAAUCUGUAAGUGUAGUUGAAUUGUGUUUUAGUCCUAAUUGUUAAUUAAUAUUUUCUUGGUUUGAUUAGUGAAUGAUUAUGCUUUGCUUUGUUUGGAUUAACAGACUAUGGUUGCUAAAAAAUGGCACUUCGCCUAUAGUACACCAAGAAAGACUCCUGCUUUUCGAACUCCAAUUGAUUUCGAAAACCCAAAUGAGUUGGAUGAAAUUGAGGCCCCAAAUGCACCGAAGCAACAGCGCUCUUACAGGUCGCGACUAAAUGGGAAGAAGCUCGCUGACAUAUCAGUGGCAUUAUUUGCUUCUCCAAAGAAGGGGUUGUUCAUGGCAACAGAGGAAGUGUGAGAACAAGAAAAGCGUAUUGUAUAUAACACGGAUUUGUUGUUUGUUGUAAAUAGGAGGACGACUGGAGUUCUGGGUCUCAUCAGAUCUCGUUUUGGGUGUUCUCUGUACAUGGCACGAAUCUUUACAAGCCGAAGUUUAUUCUUCAACUCUUGCAUUGAAGAUAGGGAGUGGCUUGUUUGUAUCUUUGUGAGUGUACAUGUGGGGUUAGUGACACAUUUGUUCAAGUGCAAUCUUUGCCCUUCUGAUUCGAUAAAGAAUGAAAAAAAUAAUCGUAGUGUACAUCCGCAUACGAUUUGUGCUUAAUAAAAUGAAGAACGAUUGAUUCAUUUUUUAUCUUACUGCCCUUUCAGUUUCUUGUCUAUGUUUAUGUUUAAAAUGAGGACUGCGCAGUUAAUGGGAGCUAAUCAAGCCUGUUCUUAGGAGUGACAAGUGGAAGUAUUGAUAUAUAUGGAAACAGAAUAAUUUUGAUGCAGAAUAUUGAGGACAGUAUCAGUAUUGAGAGACAGCUGUUAGCUGUGCUGGAUCUUAUUUGUAAACGCUGUAGGUUUAGCUCAGUAAGGCAAGGUGUUCACACCAGAUGUACUCUACUUAAAUCAAACUUUAACAUCUGGUUUUGAUUAAGAAUCAAUAAAACGUGUAUUAAACUUAGAGCAAUAUGUUUAAACACCAGAGAUCAUCUCAUUUCUGUGCAGAAU